CCUUAUAGUCCUAAAAUCAGAGCCCAACAACAUACCAACCCAAGUUGCCAAUUUCUCUUUGUAGGACUGCUCUGCUUUUGUCACUCUGUUUUUUCUUGGGGAAAGUGAAUUAAAACUUCUUCUCUUCAUAAAACCUGUGUCUCUCUGGAAGCUUAGUUAAGUGUGUGAAGUGUUGGAAAAUGUAUGCUGAGGCUGGUCUUUUGUUCCCUUACUUUCAGAAUUUCUCUCAGGAAGUUCAACAACUUGAGGAAUACUGUAAAACCCAGAAGUGCAAUGCUUCAAUGGGCAACCUGGUUCAGACCUCCACUAUCUUGGAAUAUGACUUGGGAGGAGAAGGGGAUCUUUUCAAAGCUCCAGAACCCAUCAUUGAAGAACCAGUUGUGAGCCUUGAUCCCAUGACAGCUGCCAUGUCAAUUAUAUCUUGUGGGGAGGAUGUCAUCUCCACCCAAGGGCUCAAGGUUGCAGACAUUGAAUCACUUCGAAAUGAGCAGCUUUUGAAUGAGGUUUUCUAUGAGUGCAGGAAGGAUCUCUUGGAAAAAGCAGCCAUAGAAGCUCCACUCUCUGAUGGGAUGGAUACCAAAAUUCCUUUUAUGACGGCAGAUGAAAACCAAAUUCAAGAAAACAAACCAUUUCCUGAUAUACCAUUCCAGAAAAGUGUCAGCUCAGAAUGUUUAAGCUCAAUGGACUGGAUGCAUGGAGCUGCAAUGAAACCAAGUUUCCUGGAUUUUCCUGGAAUGGAUUUUGGUACAGUUUAUGGAAUGCGGAGGGCAUUUAGCGAAGGAGACAUUAAGGAUGGGGCUGGGUCAUUGAUACUGAGUUUUUAUGACAGGCUCUUGGUAAUGGCAUGAGCCUCAUCCCCUCUCCUCAUGAGCGGCCAUUAACAAUUAGCAACUGCACUACUGAAGAGCGCCAGGAAAAGCUUUCCAGAUAUAGGAAUAAGAAGACAAAGAGGAACUUUGGCAGGAAAAUCAAGUAUGCUUGCAGGAAGGCUCUUGCUGACAGUCAACCAAGGAUCCGUGGAAGGUUUGCAAAGACUGAAGAAUCUGAUGGAAAGAGGUAAUAACUGUUAACUAAUUCAGUUUGAGGGAGCAUAGAAAAGAAGCAGCUAGGUCCAUGAAGUAAUGAAAGAGAUAGCAUACCCUGGAAAAUAGAACUUGGAGUCAAUGUUAAGUUUGAACAGGUAUAACUCAAUAAACAAGACCCCUACUAUUGUAGCCUUGAUCUCUUUAUUUGUAGUAAUAACUGCCUAGUAGACUGAAGUGCACGAGUAGGUUUGUAUAUAAGGUUUGCUAAAAUAAGAGGGGAAGCAAAAAUUUGUACUUGUUCAUAUAUAUGUUAUGUAAUGGCAAUGUACUCAUCUCUUUAUUCA